rnacentral:rRNA from 1 species
UAGGGAAUUUUCGUUCAAUGGGGGCAACCCUGAACGAGCAAUGCCGCGUGAGCGAAGAAGGUCUUCGGAUUGUAAAGCUCUGUUGCCGGGGAAAAGGAGG